UGCUGGUUGGAAUGGACCAUUCAUGUCACUCAGAAAUAAUAAUCAUCAAAGUCUAUUGACUCGAAGCGAGCUGGGAUUAUAAGUGACAUCAUUGUGACAUUAAAAACUUAAAAGUAAUUAUAAAUAAUAGCAGUUAUAUAUAUAUAUUGAGACAGCACCUAACGUAUCAAGAAUCAUUUGCUGUGAAUUAUGAAAAGUGACUGAUUAAGAGGGGCCAUCUUUUAAAAUGAGGUUCGAAAAAUUCUGAUUCCACAUUUUGCACACAACUGGGAUCAGGGCAAUUGUUUAAAUUAUCAAUGGAUGGAGUUUGUGUCCAUGCGAGUAGAAAAAUAAAAAUAGUGGAUUCUGUCAUUUUAAAUCUAAAGAAAACAUUUGAAAUGGGUAAUAUUCCUGUAAGAGUUGACGACACUGGUGCAUAAAACUCUCUUAAAUACUUUUUCAUUUUUUCGUGUUUUGAUGGUAUGCUGUGACAGUAACAUAUAAUACUUUUUUUUUUUUGUUGUGACUCUCUUGAAAAGUGAAUUUCUGGUCACUCAGAAAUAAUAAUCAUCAUCGUCUUUUGACUCGAAGCGAGCUGGGAUUAUAAUUGACAUCAUUGUGACAUUUAAACUUGAGAUAGAAAUAAAUGGAGAAGUUAUUGAGACAGCAACCCAACACUGGUGAAACUUGUAAUGGCUUUAAAGGUAUUAAUUU
rnacentral:lncRNA from 1 species